CAGAAUGCAAAUGCCUAAUGUCCUAAAAUAUGAAAUGCAAUAUGCUAAACUAGUCCCAAGAAGAGGAGGGCAAAUUUUGAGGUGUUACAGCUGCCCAUAUUCAAUCCAUUGUGAACCUGUCGAUAUGAACAACCUCAACUUUCAGAUGAUCAGAGUGAAAAGUGGUUGAAUACCAAGAAUAGACGAACAAUUUGCGCUCCGCUGGGGAAUAUUAUUUUUUUUCUUGAACCCCACAACUUCUUUGAUUGAUUUUUUUUGUUUUUCUUAAACCCCACAACUUUUCAAUUGAUUUU
rnacentral:lncRNA from 1 species